UUAUCACAGCAGGACCAGAGCUCUUCAGCAGAACAUAACCUUGCCUGUUCUUUUACUAUAAUAAAAUAUAAUAAUUUUUAGAUAAUUUAAUAGAUUAACUGAAACACUGUGUUGAAAUUGAUGAUAAACACACAAAAGCAGCGUUGGGAAACAGGGCAGAGUGAAAAGGAAGAGAAGAAACCUUUUCUAAGGUGGAAAAAGAAGGCAAAAGACAAACCACAGAGAUCAAAAAGAUUUUGGAAAAAUGAAAGAGAAAUCAAAUACAUCUGGCAGAGAAGACCGUUUUCAGCGGUUUCACGUUGCGUCUCCGGGGACGCUGUGGUGACUAUACCCACAGUGCUUUGCUGCACAGGCAGGUCACAGGUGCCAGAUGACAGCAGAAUGUGCUCAUGGGAACUGCGGCGUGGAUAGAGAAGCCCGGACAGACUGCUCCUGACAGCUGGCCAAUCAACUCUGCUGAAAACCUUUCCCUUGAUGACAUCACCAGACCUCAACCGUUGAGCUGCCCGUCUGACUUUCUCCGUCGCAAAAUGCAAUGAAAUGCCGUUUUAAGUCAAGUUUAAGAAACGUAAGCAUGGUGAGAUAGAAAUUAUUUCUGUAUAUUUAUCUAUGGUACCUAACAUAAGUUUCCAAAUAUUACUGAAAUGUUAGCUUUUGUAUAUGGAAGGAAACCAGGUAGACAUAUAUGUUGAAGGUUGCUCUGUUUUUCUAAUUCCAAGACCUCUGGAGCACAAAGACGACAUGAUACCAGCUGAGAAUUUCCAGCCUUUGACUUGCAUGACAUCAUUCAGCCCAGAAAGGAAACAACACUGCCUAGCAACAAAAAGUUGUUCCAACAUAAUUUAUUCCCUUUUGGGAGGACCAUUAAAAUCUGUUGACAGUGUUUUUAAAAUCUCAAAGGGCCAGAUUCAAGCCAGAAACUGUACAUGUUGAUUACACCUGAAACUAUGCAAUAGUGGGGCGUUGUUGUGGUUCUCAAGUCACCAUGUCAGUUCUAAGCUGUUCCACUGAAGAUUUUCUUUUUACAGGUGUGCACUGGAUAUUUAAAUAACGUUUAGGGGCCCAAAGAGGUAAAAUUAUCCAUUAAUUAACAGGUAAAAAAAAA